rnacentral:lncRNA from 1 species
AUGCAGAGGCAGCCAUGUCCGGCGUUACCUCACUGCCCACUGCUCCCUCCGGAUGGCCGCCUCGCCCGGCGCCAGCCCGUGGCCCUCCCUCUUGGCCGAGCUGUGCGACUCAGGUGUCCGGCUGUCAUGUCCUGUGGGCUGGGGCUGGGCAGAGUGAGCAGAGAGCCUCCUGGCAUGCCCCCCCGCCUCUUCUCGGUCAGGCCACCCUCCUCUGCAUGCUGCCUGAGGGUGAGGACGGUGGCUCUGGCCCACUGUCCAGAUGCAGAAACAAUGGGGGUGUGGACUGCAGUUGGGGUGGCCCUGACCCCGGAGUCUCAGGCUGAGGGGACUCCCCAGGCCUGGUGUGGGUGUGGCCAGCUGUGCUGGGGGCAGGGCGUCAGCAGUGUGUGUCUGUGCAUCUGUGUGUGGUCUGUGUGUCUGUCUGUCUGUGUGCCUGGGGGUGGGGGUGAGGAAGACGCUAGUGUUGGAGGCUGCCCAGGGCCUUGGGAGCCAGAGUCCAGCCUCUGCUAUGAGGAGAUGGGACCCACAGGGCAUAGAAAGGGGGUCCUGUUCAGUGAAGUCCUGGCCAUCCACACCCACCAAGGGAGGGGCCCCCAAGACUUCUCUGGCCACCAAGCUGUGGCCCCGGUUCCUUCCAGAGCGGGAGUGAUUUGCCAGUCCGCGGGCAUUCCUGUAGCUCCAGAACCCACUCAGCCUGGCCUGGCCAGGGUCUGCAGCCCCCAGCUCCCUAGAAAGAAAGGUGAAUUGAAGGGGCCAGCAUUCUCUGCAAAUGUGGGGCUAGCCUCCCUGCUGUCCACCCUCCACCUCCCUCACCCUGGAUGGGACCCCCAGGCUCUGGGGGAGGCCUGCAAAGGAUGCUGGAUAAUCCCCCAUGGUGGUGGCUCUGGGUGGGGGCUUGGCUGGGCUCCGGGGCGGCGGACCUCCCAGGCACUGCCCGGGGCACAGACCUCACAGGGUCCCACCGCCCAGCCUGGCUGCUGCAGGAGCAGCGAGGCUGGGACCAAUUACAGAGUCUCAAGGGGCUGGACCCUCCUGCUCCCUGAGGGUGGGGUGGGGUCCCCGCUGGACGAGGUCCAGGUGGAGCCGACUCUCUGGUCUCCUGAGGCCGGAGCUCUGGAGCCAGGAGGCCCAGAAGAGGUCCUGCCUCUUGGUCCUGGAGACCAGGGCUGUAGGCCUGGCCCGCAUCCCCAGGCUUUGCUCUGCGGCCUCUCAGAGGGCUGGGGCGGGGCAGAGGGUGGGAGAGAAUUCGAGGUGUGGGGUCAGCCUCAACCUCUGCCCUGGGGUCAGGGCCUCUGGGGAGGCCACCUGAAGGCCUAG